rnacentral:rRNA from 1 species
UACGUAGGGUGCAAGCGUUGUCCGGAAUUAUUGGGCGUAAAGAGCUCGUAGGCGGUUUGUCGCGUCUGCUGUGAAAACCCGAGGCUCAACCUCGGGCCUGCAGUGGGUACGGGCAGACUAGAGUGCGGUAGGGGAGAUUGGAAUUCCUGGUGUAGCGGUGGAAUGCGCAGAUAUCAGGAGGAACACCCGUAGCGAAGGCGGCACUCUGGGCCGAUACUGACGCUGAGGAGCGAAAGCGUGGGGAGCAAACAGG